GGAUGUGAGGGCGAUCUGGCUGUGCCAUAUAUCACCCCAUUGAUCACCAGGGUCGAUUCCGCUGAUCUGGCUGGAGGCGGGUGUCCCCUUCCUCCCUCACCGCUCCAUGUGCGUCUCUCCCGAAGCUGCCCUACUUAAAAGAGGAUGGCCUUCCCCGAAUAGAGACAGACCGGUCUUCUGUGGAGGCUAUAGGAGUAGCUGUGCUCCCCUGCUAGAACCUCCAAACAAGCUCUCAAGGGCAGAAAGAAAUGGAGAGAGGAGGGGAAGACAAAGAAGGGGAGAGGAAGACAGACACCUGCAGAUCUGCUUUACUGCCCGUGAAGCCACUCCCU
rfam:Erinaceus europaeus unplaced genomic scaffold scaffold00816, whole genome shotgun sequence